UAUUAGUUUAGUGCAAAAGUAAUUGUGGUUUUUGCCAUUGAAAGUAAUGGCAAAAACCACAAUUACUUUUGCACCAACCUAAUA
rfam:Gorilla gorilla gorilla genomic chromosome, chr3, whole genome shotgun sequence